rnacentral:rRNA from 1 species
UUUGAUCCUGGCUCAGAUUGAACGCUGGCGGCAUGCCUGACACAUGCAAGUCGAACGGCAGCGCGGGAGCAAUCCUGGCGGCGAGUGGCGAACGGGUGAGUAAUACAUCGGAACGUGCCCAAUCGUGGGGGAUAACGCAGCGAAAGCUGUGCUAAUACCGCAUAAGAUCUACGGAUGAAAGCAGGGGAUCGCAAGACCUUGCGCGAAUGGAGCGGCCGAUGGCAGAUUAGGUAGUUGGUGGGGUAAAGGCUCACCAAGCCUUCGAUCUGUAGCUGGUCUGAGAGGACGACCAGCCACACUGGGACUGAGACACGGCCCAGACUCCUACGGGAGGCAGCAGUGGGGAAUUUUGGACAAUGGGCGCAAGCCUGAUCCAGCCAUGCCGCGUGCAGGAUGAAGGCCUUCGGGUUGUAAACUGCUUUUGUACGGAACGAAAAGUCUCUUUCUAAUAAAGAGGGAUCAUGACGGUACCGUAAGAAUAAGCACCGGCUAACUACGUGCCAGCAGCCGCGGUAAUACGUAGGGUGCAAGCGUUAAUCGGAAUUACUGGGCGUAAAGCGUGCGCAGGCGGUUAUGUAAGACAGUUGUGAAAUCCCCGGGCUCAACCUGGGAACUGCAUCUGUGACUGCAUAGCUAGAGUACGGUAGAGGGGGAUGGAAUUCCGCGUGUAGCAGUGAAAUGCGUAGAUAUGCGGAGGAACACCGAUGGCGAAGGCAAUCCCCUGGACCUGUACUGACGCUCAUGCACGAAAGCGUGGGGAGCAAACAGGAUUAGAUACCCUGGUAGUCCACGCCCUAAACGAUGUCAACUGGUUGUUGGGUCUUCACUGACUCAGUAACGAAGCUAACGCGUGAAGUUGACCGCCUGGGGAGUACGGUCAAGGUUGAAACUCAAAGGAAUUGACGGGGACCCGCACAAGCGGUGGAUGAUGUGGUUUAAUUCGAUGCAACGCGAAAAACCUUACCCACCUUUGACAUGUACGGAAUUUGCCAGAGAUGGCUCAGUGCUCGAAAGAGAACCGUAACACAGGUGCUGCAUGGCUGUCGUCAGCUCGUGUCGUGAGAUGUUGGGUUAAGUCCCGCAACGAGCGCAACCCUUGUCAUUAGUUGCUACAUUCAGUUGGGCACUCUAGUGAGACUGCCGGUGACAAACCGGAGGAAGGUGGGGAUGACGUCAAGUCCUCAUGGCCCUUAUAGGUGGGGCUACACACGUCAUACAAUGGCUGGUACAAAGGGUUGCCAACCCGCGAGGGGGAGCUAAUCCCAUAAAACCAGCCGUAGUCCGGAUCGCAGUCUGCGACUCGACUGCGUGAAGUCGGAAUCGCUAGUAAUCGUGGAUCAGAAUGUCACGGUGAAUACGUUCCCGGGUCUUGUACACACCGCCCGUCACACCAUGGGAGCGGGUUCUGCCAGAAGUAGUUAGCCUAACCGCAAGGAGGGCGAUUACCACGGCAGGGUUCGUGACUGGGGUGAAGUCGUAACAAGGUA